rnacentral:rRNA from 1 species
GAUGAACGCUGGCGGCGUGCCUAAUACAUGCAAGUCGAGCGAACAGAUAAGGAGCUUGCUCCUUUGACGUUAGCGGCGGACGGGUGAGUAACACGUGGGUAACCUACCUAUAAGACUGGGAUAACUUCGGGAAACCGGAGCUAAUACCGGAUAACAUUUGGAACCGCAUGGUUCUAGAGUGAAAGAUGGAUUUGCUAUCACUUAUAGAUGGACCCGCGCCGUAUUAGCUAGUUGGUAAGGUAACGGCUUACCAAGGCGACGAUGCGUAGCCGACCUGAGAGGGUGAUCGGCCACACGGGAUCUGAGACACGGUCCAGACUCCUACGGGAGGCAGCAGUAGGGAAUCUUCCGCAAUGGGGGAAAGCCUGACGGAGCAACGCCGCGUGAGUGAUGAAGGGGUUCGGCUCGUAAAACGCUGUUAUUAGGGAAGAACAAAUGUGUAAGUAACUGUGCACGUCUUGACGGUACCUAAUCAGAAAGCCACGGCUAACUACGUG